GACAGAGGGUGCAAACGUUUGUUCGGAAUUACUGGGCGUAAAGCGUGUGUAGGCGGUCUCAUAAGUCGGGUGUGAAAGCCCCGGGCUCAACCCGGGAAGUGCACUCGAAACUGCGAGGCUAGAGUAUCGGAGAGGUUGGUGGAAUUCUCGGUGUAGAAGUGAAAUUCGUAGAUAUCGAGAGGAACACCGGUGGCGAAGGCGGCCAACUGGACGAAUACUGACGCUGAGACACGAAAGCGUGGGGAGCAAACAGG
rnacentral:rRNA from 1 species